GCAGAGCCAGCUUCAGUUAGCUCCAGUUUCAGCAUAGCAGCUUGCUGAAGGCUAUGAAAGGGUCGUGUUUUUUCCUGUCUGCCGUAUCCAUGUCAGGGGCCUGGAGAGCCAACUGACUCUCCUGUCAGACAUGGGAAGAAUUCCUUAUGUCCCGGAGCUUCCUGUUUUUGUUUUUGUUUUUUUUUCCUAUUUUAUCUCCCAUUGGCAAAAAUGUGCUGGUCACAGGCUCAGAGCUACGCUUCGGGACCGGAAGAGAUCAUCUCUAGAUGGCUGCAACUUCACAAGGUGUCAAGAAUCAAAGAGAACAAAUUUAACUGGUCACAAUGAGGAAGCUGUGGGAGACAGUCCUAAUCUUUUUUCAAUAUUACCAUCAAGAGCAAGGAAAAGAAAAAUGAGGGACAAGUGGCACAGACAUGGUCUCUUAAACAUAUCCCUCAUCUUUUGGCAACUAAGGGUGGAGUUAAAGGUUUCCCAGCAGCUCUUGGAAAUGCUAUAGAGAACAGAAUGAUUACAUGAAUCAAAACAUCAGAUGUAGAAUUCUCAGCAUGUGUAUAUCCACAACUGCAGAUUUUGUGCCUCAUACAUAUUUCUUGAAAAAAAAAAAAAAAAAGAAGAAGGCUGAAUGAAGGAAUAUGCUUUUUCAAAAUCACUCCAAGGCCACAUAUUUGUUUAAUCUUAGUACACUUCUCCCAUGCAGGAAAGUACUCUCAAGAAAAGUGAACAAGGAUUUGAGAAUGUGUUUAGAAAAACACAAAUGUACUAAAUAGAUCACUGGUUCACUAGCUCUUAUCUAAUGAACUAAACAGAAAGCAUAGAUUUUAAUAUAUGAAAUUGUCAUGCUGCCUCAUAAUGGCUCCCCUGUUAAAUGUGAAGCAUUUUCUUCAUAGAUCCAGUUUCCAGUCUUGUAAUUCUCACAUGUUUCAACUGAGCAAAGUUCUGAAAUACAUAAGAAGUCUACUUUGUCACCUGGAGGUUGUGAAGAAGCAACCUCUGAAUAUUGAUCAUAAUAUUUCCAAAGCAAAAACUGGGAUCAUUGAAAAUGUUCCUGAGAGAAAGUGCAACUGCUGAGGGUCUUAGCAUGGUAACCUAUGUGCCAGCAGCACCUGUUUUGGUUUGUUAGGAAUCUGCAAAGCAAACAUAUGUAAGUUCCCCACUAUUUAACAGAGAAUGUUCAAAGAUAAUCCAAUUACUGUGUCAUAUUUCUGUAAAAACAUAGAUUUAUGAGAAACUAUAUUUAGAGCUGUUCAGAAACUGAAACCAAGACUUGAUUCUUUCAUUUCUCUGAUGUAUAGCACUUCCAAUAUCACACUAAUACAUUUGAUGGAUGUGCUAUUAAUUAUUGGAGAAGGAAAAAAAAUAUAUAUUUGAAAUCAGAAUAGUAGGGGAAUUCAUAACCAUUAAAUAAUUAAAAAAAAAAAGUGUACUUGUUAAGAAGGUAAAUACUAAAUAUGAAGUAAAAUUAUUAUCCCACAACUAACUGGGAAAGCAGUGAGAGGAAGCAAGGAGCACAAUGUCUGGAAGAAUAAAUUUCACUAAUUAGUCA
rnacentral:lncRNA from 1 species